rnacentral:rRNA from 1 species
ACUCCUACGGGAGGCAGCAGUGGGAAUAUUGCACAAUGGGCGCAAGCCUGAUGCAGCCAUGCCGCGUGUGUGAAGAAGGCCUGGGUUGUAAAGCACUUUCAGUUGUGAGGAAGGUGGUGUCGUUAAUAGCGGCAUCAUUUGACGUUAGCAACGAAGAAGCACCGNANCCGUGCCAGCAGCCGNGGUAAUACGGAGGGUGCGAGCGUUAAUCGGAAUUACUGGGCGUAANCGCAUGCAGGUGGUUUGUUAAGUCAGAUGUGAAAGCCCGGGCUCAA